AUUGGCUUAUGAAUCAUUUUCCACAGAGCCAGGCUACCAACACGUCACCAUAUGUCACUGUCUGGAGACAGACUCCCCUGUGGUCCUUUUGCUGAGUUACUGGACCAGAUACCUUGCUCCCUUUGGUGAUGUACUGGUGAAAAUUCUGCUACGUGAGAUGUCUGAG